CUAUCCAGAUUUACAUGUAUAAUGGUAUUUGAAAGAGCAUAUAUCCUGGAUAUACAAGACGUAAAAUCAUCAUUCUUAUUAAAUGGUGCGUCUAAAUGACUCUUAUUCUCUUAAGAAAUGAAUGCUUCUUCUUGUAAUUUUAAUUGGGUGUAAAAGUGUUGACCGAAGCACAUUUUGUAUGAAGCGCAGAAGCGCUUCAUUUUAAAAAUGUGUGCAUUCAUUUCUUAUAAUUACAUUUUUAUGCUAAUAAGACCAUGAAAAAAAAGUUUUAUCGAGUUUUUCUUUUAUUUACUUCUGCACUUUUUUGUGGAAGCACGUGUCAUCACGAAUGUAACAUUUCAUUUUGAUAUGGAGGUUAAUUUUUGAAAAACGCGCGAUUGUUGUUAGCCAAUCAAACUAACCGAUUCUAACUUAGAUGUAAUGUAAUUAUUUAGGGAUCAAUUUCUUAUAAGACAUUCUGAAUAAUAAUUUUUAGAAAACACAGCUAAUGCUAUACAGUCCGCAAGCAUUCCGAUGGUAGCUUUGGGAACAUCUUUCACUAUUAUUACCAUUGUAGCUUGGCUUGUAGUAGGUUUGUUGCGGUUUAAACGAAAAACAAUCAUCAAGACUAAAAGAUCAACCAAGAGAUAUCAGUGAUACAUCAAUGGCAGCCUACGAAGCCCUUGGUUUAAAAGAUAAACCAAAUGUUUAUAGUGAGUUCUAAUAAGAGGUUUGUGUUUCAUUCAACAGUUUAUAUAAUAGUAUGUAUGCUACUCAUUCUAAUACAACAUUUGCAAACCAAGAAAGCAGCAAAACUGACAACACCGCUUAUAUGAAUAGACGCUUUUUAAAAGCAUUCAUAACUUUGUAAAUAAAUGAAGUAACAUUGCUGUUAACUUAAAUUGUGUGUAAUUGAUAAUGCAUGUUCCAUUUAAUAUUUUCAUGUCACAUCUGAAUCACACUGUUAUAACAGACAACUACAGUUUGGGUCAGUUCUAACCUCUUUUUAAAACUGUUCUAAACUGUUCAAAACAGUUCUACCCUAAAACAUUUCUAGGGUGGAAUUGUCAGAAUCAGUUCUGGCGUAGAACUGUAAGGAUCAGUUCUAAGGUAGAAUUGUCCAAAUCUGUUCAAGGGUAGAACUGGUUUUACAUGUUUUUGUGUAUUUUGUUUACUAUCUUUUUUUAUCGUUUUUUUUUCGUUUAUUAACCUAGCGUUGUAAGUUUAUUUUACAAUUUUUGAAUAAAUCCUUUGGUAUCUUUGUUUCACUACUGAAAACCAAAUUUGACUUCCCUCGACCACGCUGUGGUUGCACAAUAAUUGAAUCGCCAUAAUACCAUUCCUGUUUGUCUUGUAAUUUUGUAACCGGUAUUUCUUGGGGAUGUAACCGGGAAUAUGAUUAUUAUAUUCUUUUUGUAUUUUUUGUAACUUAGUUUGAUGUUUAUAUGAUAUACUAGCUGUUUCAUUUUUUGAAUUUUUAUUAAUUGCUUGUAAUUAUAUAUUUGACUAAGAGUUUCUUUCUCUUUGUAGUUUGUAUGGCACAAAUAAUAUAAAACUUUUACCUCAUUUUAUUAUUAUACUAACGUAUGGUCUUAGUACUCUUUUUGAUACAAUACUGACGUAUUAUCUAAGUAUCUCCAUUUGAAACCAUACUGACAUAUGAUCUAAGUACCUCGAUUUGACACCAUACUGAAUUAUGUUCUAAUUACCUCAUUUUGACACCAUACUGACGUAGGGUCUUGAUUACCUCUUUUGAUACCAAUAUGACGUGUGGAAUUCAUUCCUCAUUUUCGAUACCAUACUGACGUAUGGUCUAAACACCUUCUAUUGACAACAUACUGAGGUAUGGGCUAAACACCUCCUUUGACACCAUACUGACGUAUGGUUUAAGUUACCUCUUUUUCGUACGUACCGUAUGUAUUGUACAAUAACCUAACUUUGACCCCAUGCUGACGUAUGGUCUACGUCACUCAUUUUGAUAUCAGUAUGGUUGAAAUUACCUAUUUUUUUUAAUACCAUACUAACCUAUGGUUUAAAGCAUCUUAUUUUUAUACCAUACUAACAUAUGGUUUACAUUUAGCCAUUGUUGAUAGAAUUCUGACUAUGAACAUAUAAUAUCUAUAAUAUGUUAAAUCCUUAUUUUUUUCUUUAUUUUAUGAAUGACUAUUUCGAUACAAAAAUCUUAGUCAGUCUCUUACAAAAUAUUUUAAUUCUAAGUUUCAAGAUUUAGCUAGAGUGAUAUGAAGACCAUUAUACAUUAUUGGUUUUACUGUGCAGAUGUAGAACAUUAUACAUUAAUAGUUUUCACUGAGCGUUGUAUAAGUUCGCAGUUGCCAUGUUGUAAAUAAAUUAACAUGUUUUUAUAUUCGUAAAAAAAAAUAAUAUUUUAGUA